rnacentral:lncRNA from 1 species
GAUAUCAAAAAAAAAAAAAAAAACUUUGCUACACUAAACAGAAACUAGGCUCAAUCAAGUUUCUUAAUAGCAAAAGAUGUUUGUUCAAAUAAAUAAAUAAAUAAAUUAGGAUAAAACAUACACAUGACGUUUUUCAGCUAGAUGGAAUCAACCACAUUCUAAUUGCACUAAUAGGAAUGAAAAAGAAGUGCCGCUGCUGAUUUGAUAUGUAUUACCAAUAUUCAAUGCAGUUGGACUAGCAUAAUGAAUUCACAAUAUCCAAAUUCUAAAGGUUCCUAUUUCUCAAUGUGUCAUCAUACACUUGGAUCUAUGUUGCUCGGAGUCUUUAGCUUUAGUGCCAUAAAAAUGUCGGACACAACACCAAAUUGGUUGGAUAUGGGAUACGCGCCUGACGCUUGGUUUGCAUCUCAAAAACCUUAUAAUCUAAAACUAGAACUUACGACAUAUGAUCAUAGAAAAGGCAUGACUCUGAGAAUAGAAGUUAAAAAAGAACAGAUAGCUGGAAAUUCAUUUUUUUAAGAAUAAAAGAUAUAUAACAUAAAAGCACCAAAAGAGUGCAACCCUUAUAUAAAAGUAUUUAUAUAUCUAUUCUUUCAAACAAAAAAGUAUUUAUAUAUCUAGCAAAUAUCUAGAAGGUCCCCCCAAAUCCUCUCUAGAAAAUAGUUAUUAGCCCCUUAACAAAAAACUAAGUGCCUAAAAUCAUGUAUCUUUAUAUCUAUCAAAAGAGAAUUCUUCCCUUUCAAAGGUUUCCCUGUUUCUUUCUUUCCAAAUAACCCAAAAGGUAUUCAAAAAGAUUAGGUUGAUAAGACAUUUAUCACUCUUUAUACCUCUCCACACCCACAACUCCUCUCUCAUAGAACCAGCAACCACCCAACUCAGCCCCAAAAGACUAUAAGCCAAGGCCAAAGGCAAUAGACAAACUGGCACCAUAAGAGAAGGUGGCUACAAAUCUCUGCACCUUCUUGCACAAAUAACAACCAUUCACUAAGUUUUCCUCUCCUCCUGAGCAUAUCCAACAUAAGGAUGUGCUCCCAAACAACUUCCCAUGUGAAGGAUGUCACCCUAGAGGUUGCCUUCACUUUCCAAAUCAUAUUACCUGGAAACUUUUCACUAGCACCCACUUUCCUAGUCAAGAAUGAAUAAAAAGAUUACACUGAGAAGCAUCCUCUUUUGUCUAGGCUACAUAUCGACUCAUUUUCAAGCCCCUCAGAGAUCAUCACCUUAGAUAGAGAGUUGAGAAGUCUUAUAUAAUCAUUAAUCUCCCAAUCAUUAAUAUUUUUAGAUAAAACGAAGGACCAAGUACUGCAUACCUGUGGAUCUCGCGAAGGAAUCCUUAACUAUAAUACUUUUGUUUUGAGCAAUAGCAAACAUAGAAGGAAAUUGCCAACAGACUUAAUCUACAGAGUUAUGGUACAUAAUCUUUUGGAGUACCAUCAACUUCAACCUUAUUAACAUUCUCCAGAGAGAGAAAAACAUAUGAAGUUCCUCCAUGUAGGGGAGAAGGAGCAAUUUGAUCUCACUUUGGAAUGGUAUACUCUCAUAA